rnacentral:rRNA from 1 species
AUACGUAUGUCGCAAGCGUUAUCCGGAUUUAUUGGGCGUAAAGCGCGUCUAGGCGGCUUAGUAAGUCUGAUGUGAAAAUGCGGGGCUCAACCCCGUAUUGCGUUGGAAACUGCUAAACUAGAGUACUGGAGAGGUAGGCGGAACUACAAGUGUAGAGGUGAAAUUCGUAGAUAUUUGUAGGAAUGCCGAUGGGGAAGCCAGCCUACUGGACAGAUACUGACGCUAAAGCGCGAAAGCGUGGGUAGCAAACAGGAUUAGAUGCCCUGGUAGUCCACGCCGUAAACGAUGAUUACUAGGUGUUGGGGGUCGAACCUCAGCGCCCAAGCUAACGCGAUAAGUAAUCCGCCUGGGGAGUACGUACGCAAGUAUGAAACUUAAAGGAAUUGACGGGG